rnacentral:rRNA from 1 species
AGCGAACGCUGGCGGCAGGCCUAACACAUGCAAGUCGAACGAACUCUUCGGAGUUAGUGGCGGACGGGUGAGUAACACGUGGGAACGUGCCUUUAGGUUCGGAAUAACUCAGGGAAACUUGUGCUAAUACCGAAUGUGCCCUUCGGGGGAAAGAUUUAUCGCCUUUAGAGCGGCCCGCGUCUGAUUAGCUAGUUGGUGAGGUAAAGGCUCACCAAGGCGACGAUCAGUAGCUGGUCUGAGAGGAUGAUCAGCCACAUUGGGACUGAGACACGGCCCAAACCCCUACGGGAGGCAGCAGUGGGGAAUCUUGCGCAAUGGGCGAAAGCCUGACGCAGCCAUGCCGCGUGAAUGAUGAAGGUCUUAGGAUUGUAAAAUUCUUUCACCGGGGACGAUAAUGACGGUACCCGAAGAAGAAGCCCCGGCUAACUUCGUG